rnacentral:rRNA from 1 species
CCUGAUUAGCUAGUUGGUGAGGUAAAGGCUUACCAAGGCGACGAUCAGUAGCUGGUCUGAGAGGACGACCAGCCACACUGGGACUGAGACACGGCCCAGACUCCUACGGGAGGCAGCAGUGGGGAAUUUUGGACAAUGGGGGAAACCCUGAUCCAGCCAUGCCGCGUGAGUGAAGAAGGCCUUCGGGUUGUAAAGCUCUUUCAGCCGGAACGAAACGGUCACGGCUAAUACCUGUGACUACUGACGGUACCGGAAGAAGAAGCACCGGCUAACUACGUGCCAGCAGCCGCGGUAAUACGUAGGGUGCAAGCGUUAAUCGGAAUUACUGGGCGUAAAGCGUGCGCAGGCGGUUUUGUAAGUCAGAUGUGAAAUCCCCGGGCUUAACCUGGGAACUGCGUUUGAAUC